AGUUGAAUGAUAAAUCAAGUUUGCUUUGACUUAAUCUCAUCAAAAUAAAUGACAUUGUCUAGAUUGGUGCUUGCUGGUGGAGCAAUAGCCCCUUUUGACUUUAUUAUUCACUUAAAUAAAGAGCUUCAAGAUUUCAUUCAUGAAAAAUUAUUAAUGCACACACAUACAUUGUAUAUGAUGUGUAUAUAAAAAAAGAAGAUGUGGUAUGAUUGCCAAUGAGACAACUAUCCACAAAAGACCAAAAUGACUCAAAUUUUAGCAACUUUAGGUCACCGUACGGCCUUCAACAAUGAGCAAAGCCCAUACCGCAGUCAGCUAUAAAAGGCCCCGAUAAGACAAUGUAAAACAAUCUUGUAGUUUUCUUGUAUCCUUGAUAAUUUUACUAUAAAAAAUAUAGGAAAUUCAAAAAUGUUCAUUAAUGUAAGAUAACUGUUGUCUGUAGAAUAGAAAAAAUAUUUUGAUUACAGACGCUAAUGCAUUCGAAAGUUUCUGACUAUUUCUUCUCAGUGUUAUGCUCUAUACACAUUUGUUGAUAAAACUCCAACAUAUGCAAGUGCAGUUAAAAAAAAUGGACUUGUAUAAGAUUUUGAUUGAAUUUAAAACUUUCAAAUACAGAUAAAAAGACGAGUUUUGGCUUUUUAUGUGGUUCUUAUUUUAAGUCAUAAAGUUCUUGAAUGUGCAUGGAAAAUGUAGGAAAGGUUAACAGAUGUCUAGAUUUUGAUCUGAAGCAGCUUAAAUCUUAUGUAACCACUGUUAUGGACACAAAUUUUUAAUGUUGUAUAUAAAAAAAAAGUUUGCUAUGUUUUAAUGUAGAUCUUAGGCAAAUGUGUUAUGUUUUUUGCAAUACAUUACCAUUUUCUUCCAAGACAAAAACAUUAUUUUUAAUAUAGUUGUUAUGGAACUGAGUUUGUUGCUAAGGCAUACAACUGUAUAGAUGGUUGCUAGGGAGAAAUUAUUUUUCAAUUAAAUCAUUUAUCAUGUUUCUUUUUUUGUAAAAAGUUUGAAUGCAACAACAAAAAAAUGUUUGCAUUUUUAUUGAAAAAGGGGGGGGAGUUGCUAUGGUGUAAAACUGGUUGCUAAGGACUUUUUCAGCUAUAUUGUCUUUUUUAUGCAAGUUAUUUUCUUUCUAUUACAACUAAUCCUAUAAAAAGAUCAUUCUGCAAAUGAAUUUAGCUUAAGCAUUCAAAAUUUGCAAAAAUGAAAAUUAAGCAAAAAUGUGAUUUUUUAACACG
rnacentral:lncRNA from 1 species